rnacentral:rRNA from 1 species
AGCGUACACGGUGGAUGCCCUGGCAGUCAGAGGCGAUGAAGGACGUGCUAAUCUGCGAUAAGCGUCGGUGAGGUGAUAUGAACCGUUAUAACCGGCGAUUUCCGAAUGGGGAAACCCAGUGUGAUUCGUCACACUAUCAUUAACUGAAUCCAUAGGUUAAUGAGGCGAACCGGGGGAACUGAAACAUCUAAGUACCCCGAGGAAAAGAAAUCAACCGAGAUUCCCCCAGUAGCGGCGAGCGAACGGGGAGGAGCCCAGAGCCUGAAUCAGUGUGUGUGUUAGUGGAAGCGUCUGGAAAGGCGCGCGAUACAGGGUGACAGCCCCGUACACAAAAAUGCACAUACUGUGAGCUCGAUGAGUAGGGCGGGACACGUGGUAUCCUGUCUGAAUAUGGGGGGACCAUCCUCCAAGGCUAAAUACUCCUGACUGACCGAUAGUGAACCAGUACCGUGAGGGAAAGGCGAAAAGAACCCCGGCGAGGGGAGUGAAAAAGAACCUGAAACCGUGUACGUACAAGCAGUGGGAGCCUCUUAAUGGGGUGACUGCGUACCUUUUGUAUAAUGGGUCAGCGACUUAUAUUCUGUAGCAAGGUUAACCGAAUAGGGGAGCCGAAGGGAAACCGAGUCUUAACUGGGCGUUAAGUUGCAGGGUAUAGACCCGAAACCCGGUGAUCUAGCCAUGGGCAGGUUGAAGGUUGGGUAACACUAACUGGAGGACCGAACCGACUAAUGUUGAAAAAUUAGCGGAUGACUUGUGGCUGGGGGUGAAAGGCCAAUCAAACCGGGAGAUAGCUGGUUCUCCCCGAAAGCUAUUUAGGUAGCGCCUCGUGAAUUCAUCUCCGGGGGUAGAGCACUGUUUCGGCAAGGGGGUCAUCCCGACUUACCAACCCGAUGCAAACUGCGAAUACCGGAGAAUGUUAUCACGGGAGACACACGGCGGGUGCUAACGUCCGUCGUGAAGAGGGAAACAACCCAGACCGCCAGCUAAGGUCCCAAAGUCAUGGUUAAGUGGGAAACGAUGUGGGAAGGCCCAGACAGCCAGGAUGUUGGCUUAGAAGCAGCCAUCAUUUAAAGAAAGCGUAAUAGCUCACUGGUCGAGUCGGCCUGCGCGGAAGAUGUAACGGGGCUAAACCAUGCACCGAAGCUGCGGCAGCGACGCUUAUGCGUUGUUGGGUAGGGGAGCGUUCUGUAAGCCUGUGAAGGUGGCCUGUGAGGGUUGCUGGAGGUAUCAGAAGUGCGAAUGCUGACAUAAGUAACGAUAAAGCGGGUGAAAAGCCCGCUCGCCGGAAGACCAAGGGUUCCUGUCCAACGUUAAUCGGGGCAGGGUGAGUCGACCCCUAAGGCGAGGCCGAAAGGCGUAGUCGAUGGGAAACAGGUUAAUAUUCCUGUACUUGGUGUUACUGCGAAGGGGGGACGGAGAAGGCUAUGUUGGCCGGGCGACGGUUGUCCCGGUUUAAGCGUGUAGGCUGGUUUUCCAGGCAAAUCCGGAAAAUCAAGGCUGAGGCGUGAUGACGAGGCACUACGGUGCUGAAGCAACAAAUGCCCUGCUUCCAGGAAAAGCCUCUAAGCAUCAGGUAACAUCAAAUCGUACCCCAAACCGACACAGGUGGUCAGGUAGAGAAUACCAAGGCGCUUGAGAGAACUCGGGUGAAGGAACUAGGCAAAAUGGUGCCGUAACUUCGGGAGAAGGCACGCUGAUAUGUAGGUGAAGCGACUUGCUCGUGGAGCUGAAAUCAGUCGAAGAUACCAGCUGGCUGCAACUGUUUAUUAAAAACACAGCACUGUGCAAACACGAAAGUGGACGUAUACGGUGUGACGCCUGCCCGGUGCCGGAAGGUUAAUUGAUGGGGUUAGCGGCAACGCGAAGCUCUUGAUCGAAGCCCCGGUAAACGGCGGCCGUAACUAUAACGGUCCUAAGGUAGCGAAAUUCCUUGUCGGGUAAGUUCCGACCUGCACGAAUGGCGUAAUGAUGGCCAGGCUGUCUCCACCCGAGACUCAGUGAAAUUGAACUCGCUGUGAAGAUGCAGUGUACCCGCGGCAAGACGGAAAGACCCCGUGAACCUUUACUAUAGCUUGACACUGAACAUUGAGCCUUGAUGUGUAGGAUAGGUGGGAGGCUUUGAAGUGUGGACGCCAGUCUGCAUGGAGCCGACCUUGAAAUACCACCCUUUAAUGUUUGAUGUUCUAACGUGGGCCCCUUACCGGGGUUGCGGACAGUGUCUGGUGGGUAGUUUGACUGGGGCGGUCUCCUCCUAAAGAGUAACGGAGGAGCACGAAGGUUGGCUAAUCCUGGUCGGACAUCAGGAGGUUAGUGCAAUGGCAUAAGCCAGCUUGACUGCGAGCGUGACGGCGCGAGCAGGUGCGAAAGCAGGUCAUAGUGAUCCGGUGGUUCUGAAUGGAAGGGCCAUCGCUCAACGGAUAAAAGGUACUCCGGGGAUAACAGGCUGAUACCGCCCAAGAGUUCAUAUCGACGGCGGUGUUUGGCACCUCGAUGUCGGCUCAUCACAUCCUGGGGCUGAAGUAGGUCCCAAGGGUAUGGCUGUUCGCCAUUUAAAGUGGUACGCGAGCUGGGUUUAGAACGUCGUGAGACAGUUCGGUCCCUAUCUGCCGUGGGCGCUGGAGAACUGAGGGGGGCUGCUCCUAGUACGAGAGGACCGGAGUGGACGCAUCACUGGUGUUCGGGUUGUCAUGCCAAUGGCACUGCCCGGUAGCUAAAUGCGGAAGAGAUAAGUGCUGAAAGCAUCUAAGCACGAAACUUGCCCCGAGAUGAGUUCU